AAUGGGGCUAAACGCAUCCAACAAUACCGGCCUAUUUGCUUGCUUAGAUGCCCCUAUAAACUUAUUACUAAGGUGUUGGACAAUAGGGUUGCAAUCUUUGCAGACAAACUAUUCAGUAAACAUCAAAAUGCCUUCAUCAAUCAUAGAAACAUCAUGGAUGGUAUCCUUACUCUGCAUGAGGUGCUGCAUCAAACACAUCGUAGAAAGAGAGUGGGUGUGGUUUUAAAAUUAGACUUCGAAAAGGCCUAUGACAAGAUCAAUUGGGAUUUCCUCAUUGAAUGUCAUCACAACCGUGGCUUUGGAUCAACCUGGAGUGGCUGGGUAGAGAAGAUCCUCAAGAAUGGCACUUUGAGCAUUAAGCUCAACAAUGAAAGUGGCCCAUACUUUCAAAGUCACAAGGGGGUUCGCCAAGGCGAUCCUCAUUCUCCCUUCUUGUUCAAUAUUGCU
rnacentral:rRNA from 1 species